rnacentral:rRNA from 1 species
GACAGAGGUCCCGAGCGUUAGGCGGAAUCACUGGGCUUAAAGCGUGUGUAGGCGGACCGUUAAGUACCUUGUGAAAUCCCACGGCUCACCCGUGGAACGGCUGGGUAGACUGGCGGUCUUGGGCCACCUAGGGGCAGAUGGAACAGACGGUGGAGCGGUGAAAUGCGUAGAUAUCGUCUGGAACGCCAAAGGUGAAAACAGUCUGCUGGGGGUGUGCCGACGCUGAGACACGAAAGCCAGGGGAGCGAACGGG